rnacentral:rRNA from 1 species
GUCCACGCCUUAAACGAUGGAAGCUAGCCGUCGGUAAGUUUACUUAUCGGUGGCGCAGCUAACGCAUUAAGCUUCCCGCCUGGGGAGUACGGUCGCAAGAUUAAAAACUCAAAGGAAUUGACGGGGGCCCGCACAAGCGGUGGAGCAUGUGGUUUAAUUCGAAGCAACGCGCAGAACCUUACCAGCCCUUGACAUCCCGGUCGCGGGUUCGAGAGAUCGAACCCUUCAGUUCGGCUGGACCGGUGACAGGUGCUGCAUGGCUGUCGU